GGUUGCACAGGAAGGGUAGAGCCCUGAAAUGUAGAAUCUAUCGGACCACCCGUCAAUUGGCUCACUGCAUUCACCCGGAGUACAUAGGUAGGAUCUGUCGUGUGCCCGUGAUUUCCGAAUACCCAUAAAUCCGUUCCAUCGACAGGGUGAUUCGUGGUGAUUGUUGUUCGGGUGUGUGUUUUGUGAAAAAAAAUUACUCUCUUUCCGACGGCUACAAAUUCGCUAGCAGUUUCCAACCGAAAAGGAUUCGUUAGAGUCGUGCGACCUCAUUCGCCUUUCUUUUUCCUGUCACUUCUGCUAUAGCUCCUGGAGUUGGUGAUUGUUACCCACCACCAUUUCGUCGUCUUGCCCAGUGUUUUAGAACCGCUAGGAAAAUUACAAUAGAAAAGUUCGAAAUCGUAGCGAAUGGUGAGCAGACUGGGAAGUGCAAACGAAAGAAUCCAGUCCGUGCGGAAGAAAAUCCCUCUGCCGCAGUGUAUAGUGCCAUUGGGCUAAGCUUUUCCCACACCCAGUUUUUCGGAAAAAUUGUGUUGAGCAAUGCAGCAGCAGCAGUGAACGGUGGGGUGGGAGAUGGAAGGCCGAAAAAGGUCAACUCCUCGAAAAUCAAAAAUCGCCUGAAACUAGAAUAGUGCAAAACAAGAAAAAGGAUACACGAAAAUCGAGGACGAGUCACAACGUGUGUGUUUGGCACAGAAAGAAAAAAGUGUCGUCACGCCUCGGCACGAAGCUGGCAGAUGUAUAACGAGCAUUCGUUAUUGAGUUCUACGAAGUGAUUGUGUCACGAGAAAAAAAAACAACUAUUGUUCGCAUAUCGGUACGGGAAAGCGAAACACUGCGCGGGGACACAGACCUAUCCAGUGAUAUCAGGGAAUCAACGGCGGGAACGGAUGGCGCCCCCAGUCCAAGGGAUCUGUUAGUUGUGGGUUUGGUUUUUAAAUUAAAAGUUACGACCUUAGCUCAAUUUCUAUGGUGCAGCAAUACACAGCGUAGGAAAGCUCCAUCAUUUCAUCGCAACUAACAACAGCGAAAAAAAGAACAUUCAACCGUGAAUUUGUGCUUUUCGUGUGGUGAGACGAAAUCGAAAAAGAGAGAAGAAAAGUGCUACAAAAUUAAAAGUUAAGGUGGUUCGUAGUGUACAAACGUUUUCGGUUUCAUUCGUCAUUCGGUUUGGAAUUCCUCGGUGUGCGGUAAGAUGGCCUGGGGUUACUGGAGUGCGACAGCCGUCGACCGGGGUCGAUCCCCUCGGCGGAACACCCAACAGUCGCUUCCCUAUCAGAACCACCAGAACCAGAGUUACCAGCAGUAUAGUCUGGUUCAAUCACAACACCAACAGUCGACGCAAUGUCUCAACAGUUGCCCACAGGCAACCGAUCCAUCGCCUCCGCCACUUCCGCCGCAAACGCUAGCACAGCAACAACAACAACAACAACAACCACAACAUCAACAACAAACCUGCAUUAGCCCGUGCCACAGUCCUUGUCACAGUCCGCAGUUCAUCGAGCAAAUACCGCCGGAUCUGCCCUGCACUCCAGUGUGCACGUACUCUCGUAGACAGUCACUUGAUAGUCCACAGGCCAACCAUCUCUCAGAUAUCAUCUGCCGGGCAACGGUUCCGUCGAUUCAAUCGGCCGGAAAUACGUUAACACGGGGAACUUCUUUGCGCGACACUGGUGAUUACGCGGUACCUCAUCCUCAUCCGCACACGCACCACUACAUGACAACCUCGGACACACCGCGGACCCUGAGCCGGGUUGGUUCAUGUCCUGGCUCGACGGGUGGUUCCGGAUCGGCGCACGGGUCCGGAUCCGGGUCUAGUCCGGGCGGUGGUCCCGGGAGUAGUGGGGGUGGUGGUGGUGGACGGGGCAGUAUCGGGGGCAGUGUGGGUAUGAUGUGCGGGGCUAGUCUUCAUGGUGGCAGCCAGGGUGGUGGUUUGGAGUACGUGGAGUGUUCACACUACGAUCGGAUGCCGCUACCGAUUCCGGUUCAGAUACCGAUAGUGCCACCACCACCACCGCAGCUUUGCUCUGAGGAGGAAAUCGAGCCGGCCUAUGCGACAGUUUUCCCAAAUGCUCCGUCGGCUCCCGGGAUGUCCUGCGUCGGAGAGGACCGCAGUAUUUAUCGAAGGGGUGCCAGGAGAUGGCGCAAACUGUACCGGAUUAAUGGGCACAUCUUCCAAGCGAAGCGAUUCAACAGGAAAGCUUUUUGCGCCUUUUGUCAUGACCGCAUCUGGGGUCUCGGCCGGCAGGGUUUCAAAUGCAUCCAGUGUAAGCUACUGGUGCACAAAAAGUGCCACAAACUUGGCAACAAACCGUGCAGCAACGAACAUGUGGAGCCGGUAUUCAAGGAGCGUGACCAUCAGGAUCCGAACGAUGAAUCGAACGCCGGCGAUGUGCUUCAACCCUCGCAGGACUAUCCGCAGGAUUAUCACCACGGCGCGGAACCGUGCGAUCAGGUCCCAGUGGAGGCACCUGAGAACGUAGAGGAACCACUAGAACCUGGCACACAGCGACAAUAUUCUUUGAAUGAUUUCGAACUAAUUCGGGUCAUCGGACGCGGUAGCUACGCUAAGGUACUGAUGGUUGAGUUACGAAAGACGCGCCGAAUCUACGCAAUGAAGGUAAUCAAGAAGGCCCUCGUAACCGACGAUGAAGACAUCGAUUGGGUGCAAACGGAGAAACAUGUCUUCGAGACGGCCUCUAACCAUCCGUUCUUGGUGGGAUUGCAUUCGUGCUUCCAGACGCCUUCCAGGCUCUUCUUCGUGAUCGAGUUCGUUCGGGGAGGUGAUCUGAUGUUUCAUAUGCAGCGUCAGCGACGUCUUCCAGAGGAGCAUGCACGAUUCUACGCGGCCGAAAUCAGUUUGGCGCUGAACUUUCUUCAUGAGAAGGGUAUAAUCUACCGGGACUUGAAACUGGACAAUGUGCUGCUUGAUCACGAGGGUCACAUCAAGCUGACCGAUUACGGCAUGUGUAAAGAAGGCAUUAGACCAGGCGACUCUACGUCGACCUUCUGUGGCACACCGAACUACAUUGCGCCGGAGAUUCUUCGUGGAGAAGAUUAUGGUUUCUCCGUCGAUUGGUGGGCUUUAGGUGUUCUGUUGUAUGAGAUGUUGGCUGGUCGCAGUCCGUUCGACAUCGCCGGUGCCUCCGAAAAUCCCGAUCAGAACACCGAGGACUACUUGUUCCAGGUGAUAUUGGAGCGAACUAUCCGUAUUCCUCGGUCACUCAGUGUGAAAGCGGCUUCCGUGUUGCGAGGUUUCCUGAACAAAAAUCCAGCCGAUCGGCUCGGGUGUAAUCGCGAAUCCGCUUUCAUGGAUAUUGUCAACCAUCCAUUCUUCAAGAGUAUCGACUGGGAGUUGCUUGCUCAAAAAGAGGUCACACCGCCCUACAUUCCAUCGUUCGAUGGGUGCGAUCAGGACAUUACCUGUCACUUUGAUCCCCAGUUUACGCUGGAACCGGCUGAGCUGACUCCGGAUGAUCCUCGCGUUAUAGACAAUAUCGAUCAAAGCGAAUUCGAAGGUUUCGAGUAUGUGAACCCGCUGCUAAUGUCCCUGGAAGACUGCGUUUGACACCACGCAUCCUGCGAGCUGCAUCCGUACAACAUGCAGUUCUAAUAAAACACUAACGAUUCAAGCAGUACCGAGCGGUAACAAUAAUCUCUUAAAAUCUAAGCAACCAGAGAAACUAGUUAUAAUUGACAUAACUAAGUCCGUUGUUUCCAAAUUUUCUGUUUUAGUUUCUGCUAUGAUUUUACACUUUUAACCCUCCGUUUAGAUUGAAAUAGUGUUUAUCAACUUUAGGAUUUGUCUCUGUAACAAAGAAGCCAUUUUCUGUUUGAUUCGAACUCUAAAAUUGUCCAAUGGACGUCAAUAAAUCUAUACGGUGACGAUUCUAGCGAUUACGAUUCUGUUGUGGAUGAACUAAGUAUUCUUCAAUUACCUCCGCCACCAUCAAAAAGUCUACUGCAGCACAUGUUUUGCCUUCCAUUGAACUAAACUACGGAAUGAUGUAGGGAUAGUUAGGAGAAACCGAGCAACAGAGAGAACGAAUAUUUUUGUUUUCCUUUUAAGUUAAAAAUUUCAACUUCAUUAUCAUCUUUUUUUUCUAGUUUUUAUAUAUUUCUUCUUCUACACGACGUAAGUUUGAAAGAACAAAACAAAAUUUUAGUGUAAAAAUCGAUGAAAUUACCAAGGUUAGGACAAGUCUAGUACGAAUUAUAAUUAAGUGGCAAAGCUACGUCAAGGUAGAACGUUUCCAAUAGUUAAAGUUACUUAAUUGACAAUGUACUUAGGACAAGAACGGAAGAGGCAUUAUUUUACUCUUAAACUACAAACAAUGUGAAAACGAUUGCUGAGGGUAGCAACAAGCUUGUCACAUGAUGAUCCGCUAGACGAUGGCCGCAAACGAAUAUUCUACUUUAAACGUAUUGAAAUGGACACAUUUCCAAAUCCAUUGCAUUGCAAAACACGAAGAUAUACCGAAAGAGUGCUUACUUCUUCGAAUGUGAAAACGACAAACUAUUCCAAUUAACGAAAAGAUCUAAAAUUAUAUUAACAACAAUUGCAAGAAAAAAAUCUAAUGCAAAUAAACAUCAAAAAAUUCCUGACUAGACUAAUUGCACCUGCGUUAACAGUUAGUGAAAACAUAAAUUGAUAACAAAAAAAAAAGAGAACAAUGAACUCAGUGAAUGCAGAUUUCCGCAGAGAAUAUGAUCUAAACUGUAUAGUAUCAGAACAGAAGUGAAAAUCACAUUUAUUUAACGAAUACGAGAAAAAAAAAACAAAAAAGCGAGAUUUUAAAGUUUUAAAUAAAACAUUGUGGAAGAUAAUUAACUGAUAAAGUAAACAUACAGAAACACAAAACCAAAACCGAACAGUAGCGGUGUUAGAUAAAGCAUUCAAAUUAUUCCAACCAAAAUUAACAAAAACAAAACGACAGCCACUUUGUCAAAGAAAGCAGGAAAAUGUUUUUUUUUUUUAUAUGCAAUUUAAUUCAUUGAUUCAAUUAAUUGGCGUAAACAAGUAAGAUGUGGAAUGAGUGAUCUAUUGAAAAAAAAAACGCCUGGAAAAAAAUGAAACACACAUUCAGGACUAAUCGUUUAUCGUCAAUAAUUUUCCACUGAAUUUUCGGGAGAAUUGAAGUGCGAAAGAGCAACGAAUUGUUUGAUUGUUUUAGCAUUACAAUGAUCUCUACUGUUAUCAUUGACUUUUUCUUUCAACUAGAUAUAUAUUAAAUGCUCAAGCUCAACCAACCUUUCAGUUCAUUCCAGCAACAGGUUUCGUCCAGAAUAAGAAUUGAUUUAGUGUAUUCAUGAUUACUUAUGGAGUAUUAUUUAGUCUGACGUAGCAGACGCAAAGGUACAUUCAAGUAUUUAAGAAAGCAGUAUGAGGAUAGAUUUUUUUUCUUUUAUGAUCUAAAAUAAAAUUCAACCAGUAUCAUUCGAUUGAAACAAAUGCAUUAAUAUUUCUUUACGCAUUUAGAGUUUGUAUUUAUUUGAGUUAGUUCUAAUGCCGUAACGUAUGUAACAAAGAAAACUUAAUUUCUGUAUACAAGAUUUUCCCCCAGAACAUUCCAUUUCACCCGAUGAGCUUUUCCUCCCAUUUAACGCUAAUUUAACUUUUUAAAGUAAGUUAUUGGUUACUAUGAGACAUUAUUGAAAGAAAAAUAAAACUGAAAUUGAGAUAA